UGGAAGCUUUUUAUUAUGGUCAGAUGUUUCCUGUGUCUGGUUUCUGAAGCAGAAUAUAGGGAAUAUGGAGGGCGUAAGGAGGAUGCAGCUGGUUUUCUUAGUUUGGGGCCAGGCUUCGAAUGCCCCAGGCAUGCGUAAAUGAGCCGUACACUGCGGUGCCCCGCCUGUCACCCUAUACAUUCCACACAUCGAGAUCUUCUGCUAUCCAGCCUCUGCAAGCUUCAGGAAUGUAAGAACGGGGAGAAAACAGAUCGUUUCCAAGCAAACAGGGAAUGCCAAACCUGCAACUCCUCUGCCCACCACUUGAUGACUGCUCAGCGUCUCCCGCAGAGAGGAGAGCGAUUUCCUGUUUGUCCCCGCUUAUAUCCUGAUUCUGCCCAGCUACAUCACUUCCUGUCUGGCCAAUCUGUGUUUUAUUCAUUAACCAGUAAGAGAAACAUAUAUACAGAAGAACAUUCUCCAUCAGUUUGCUCCCUCUGAAGCGCAGGCUGGAGUUUAAUCCCCACUGUGAGCUUCGUGCCGUCUCAUCUGACAUGGACCCUUGACCCUGGACCAGGAUCAGAAGUCCAAAAAAGCCUCCUCAUUUUAUCGUUUACUCAUUCUGUGGUGGGGUGUCUGUGAAGGUGUCUAUAGCAAUCAGUAGAUCGUGAGGACCCUGACCUGUGGAUGGAUUGACUCCUAGAUGGCAUCACAACAUGAUGGUGUCAUUGGAAGGCUGGAAGAAGUAGGUCACUGGGACAUGUCCUGGGGGCUACCUCUGGCCUUGGUCCUUCCCUGUAUUUCCUUGCUUCCUGUCCAUCAUGAAGACACUCUUGAGCCCCACCCCCACCCCAAAGGUGUCCUUUCCUACAACGGGCCCAUGAAGGCAAGGAUGUAAUUGUAUCACUAGACCCAAGAUAAAUGAUAAAUGAUAAA